rnacentral:rRNA from 1 species
GACAGAGGGGGCAAGCGUUGCUCGGAAUCACUGGGCGUAAAGGGCGCGUAGGCGGGAUGGCAAGUCGGUCGUGAAAUCCUUCGGCUCAACCGAAGAACGUCGGCCGAUACUGCCGUUCUUGAGGGAUGCAGAGGAGAUUGGAAUUCCCGGUGUAGCGGUGAAAUGUGUAGAGAUCGGGAGGAACACCGGUGGCGAAGGCGGGUCUCUGGGCAUCUCCUGACGGCUGAGGCGCGAAAGCGUGGGGAGCAAACGGG